GCAAUGGUUCAGCAAACACCAAAAUAUCCAGUUUUGUGAGAGAUGCUAAAUGUAAAUCCAAGACAAAGAUAUUGAACCCUAACAAUCCUGAGAUUGGUAUUUGAAAAAUCGUUGAAGGUAAAGGCCUAGGCAAGCAUCAAAAGACAAGGCUGAAGCCUGGAGAGCUUCUAGCUACGUCCUCAAAACAAAGGAAUAUCAAAGAUGUUAGUUGUCUAAGAAUUCCUAACAACCAAGAUCACGUCUAAGACAACAUUUCCAAG
rnacentral:lncRNA from 1 species